AAUGAACGCUGGCGGCAUGCCUAACACAUGCAAGUCGAGCGAAUGAAGGGAGCUUGCUCCUGUAUUCAGCUGCGGACGGGUGGGUAAUGCCCAGGAAUCUGCCUGAUCUUUGGGAAUAGCGUCCGUACACGGGCUCUAAUCUCGCAUCCGUCCUUAUUUUGAACUUUGUGGUUCUUCGGUCCUCACCGUUUCUGAUGAGCCUAGGUCGUAUUAGCUAGUUGGUUGGGUAACGGCCUACCAAGGCGACGAUCCGUAACUGGUCUGAGAGGACGAUCAGUCACACUGGAACUGAGACACGGUACAGACUCCUACGGGAGGCAGCAGUAGGGAAUAUUACGCAAUGGGCGAAAGCCUGAUAGAGCAAAGCCGCGUGAGUGAUGAAGGUCUUCGGAUGGUAAAGCACUGUAAGUAGGGAGGAAGGAAAGUAAGUUUAAACGUGAAUAUAUUGACGGUACCAAAAGAAUAAGCACCGGCUAACUACGUG
rnacentral:rRNA from 1 species